AGCGAACGUUAGCGGCGCGCCUAACACAUGCAAGUCGCACGAGAAAGGGAGCAAUCCCCGGUACAGUGGCGCACGGGUGAGUAACACGUAGAUGACCUUCCCUGGAGUGGUGGAUAACCUGCCGAAAGGCGGGCUAAUACAGCAUGGGACCACAUGGUUUUGACCGAGUGGUGAAAGCGGGCCUCUGUUCACAAGCUCGCGCUCUGGGAUGGGUCUGCGUCCCAUCAGCUAGUUGGUGAGGUAAUGGCUCACCAAGGCAUCGACGGGUAGCUGGUCUGAGAGGAUGACCAGCCACACUGGAACUGAGACACGGUCCAGACUCCUACGGGAGGCAGCAGUGGGGAAUAUUGCGCAAUGGGCGAAAGCCUGACGCAGCGACGCCGCGUGGGUGAUGAAGGCCUUCGGUCGUAAGACCUUGUUGGAGAGGGACGAACGAACU
rnacentral:rRNA from 1 species